rnacentral:rRNA from 1 species
ACGGAAGGCAGCAGUGGGGAAUAUUGCACAAUGGGCGAAAGCCUGAUGCAGCGACGCCGCGUGAGUGAAGAAGUAUCUCGGUAUGUAAAGCUCUAUCAGCAGGGAAGAAAAUGACGGUACCUGACUAAGAAGCCCCGGCUAACUACGUGCCAGCAGCCGCGGUAAUACGUAGGGGGCAAGCGUUAUCCGGAUUUACUGGGUGUAAAGGGAGCGUAGACGGUUUGGCAAGUCUGAAGUGAAAUGCGGGGGCUCAACUCCUGAACUGCUUUGGAAACUGUCGAACUAGAGUGCAGGAGAGGUAAGUGGAAUUCCUAGUGUAGCGGUGAAAUGCGUAGAUAUUAGGAGGAACACCAGUGGCGAAGGCGGCUUACUGGACUGUAACUGACGUCGAGGCUCGAAAGCGUGGGGAGCAAACAGGAUUAGAUACCCUGGUA